AUUAAGACAACUUUCAACAACGGAUCUCUUGGCUCUUGCAUCGAUGAAGAACGCAGUGAAAUGCGAUACGUAAUGUGAAUUGCAGAAUUCCGUGAAUCAUCAAAUCUUUGAACGCAAAUUGCACUCCUUGGUAUUCCGAGGAGUAUGCUUGCUUGAGGGUCG
rnacentral:rRNA from 1 species